GGGCCCAUAGCUCAGCUGGGAGAGCGCAUGACUGGCAGUCAAGAGGUCGGCGGUUCGAUCCCGCCUGGGUCCA
rnacentral:tRNA from 1 species